AGCCAGUCAGAAUCAGUGCAGGGCUCUUAACAGAUUAUAGAUUGAUUCUGCUGAAAUGGAGAAAAAUGCAAAAGGGACAUCUUCUCAUUCCGAGUAGCACCCGCUGAUCCUCUCUAAGCAGAUGUACUGAUAAUUACUCCCAUCAAUAAGGAGGAAAUGCUCAGCUCAGCCUUGCCGACCUGCGGAUUCCCUCCUCCUUUGCCAAAGCUGAGAAUGUGUAUGGAACAAAAACUGUAGGGGGAGCUAUUUUGUUUUGAAUGACGAGUGUAAUCUGCCUUUUCAAGUAAGCAAGAUAUUGAGAACAAUUUCACUUUUGGGGGCAUUAUGAAAGUGCUUUAGAAGGAGGCACCGGUCAUUGUAUAGGGAACUGUGUAAUAUGCAUCAGUGUGGAUCUGAAUGAGGUACGAGGCCCAUGCUCUCCCAGUUAUAUCACAUGGUAUUUGGGCAUCUUGGGGUGAAGUUGGGGGCACAGUCUUGAAAGCAAGACAGCCCUGGGUCCAGAUCACAGCUCAACUACUUAGUAUCUCAGCAGCCUUGGACAAGUUGCUUCAUAACCCUGUAAAAGGGUAAAAAGGAAAGAGGAACGUCUGCACGACCUCCCCCACUAAGUUCUUACUCGGAUUUAAUUUGACACUGCAUUUAAAAUUCAGCCGGUAGUCUGCACUCAACAAAUGGUUUUUCUAUCCUCCUUAUUUCUCUAGAGUGUCAGAUACCGCACUCUUUCAUACUCAUCUAUGAAUGUUGCGCUUCUAAUUGGUUUCUUGCCUUUUAUAAAGAAGAUGCGAUUGGGCUCACAAAAUAGGGCACAUACUCAAGAUUAGUCCUGCUGUUAAGUGUCCUCUGUUCAUUACUUUGAUGGGAUGGUUUGAGGAUGAAGUCUUUGCUGAAGAGUAUUUGAUGCUGUAGGAGAAUGUGUUUGUGCCUGAGCACAGGUCAGAAGAGAAACUAAUGAUGGAAUGGCAUUUGCUUCUGUGGAGAGGCCCGGGCAGUGACUUGAAAAUGAUUUUUGAACAAAAGCGUAUUUCCUGGUAUACCAAGGAUAUAUGGCUGUGACAGCCCGGGGACCGCUCGGCUCCUUACUCAGACAUAAUACUGCUCAGGGUAAGUCUCCUCCAGAACCCAGAAGACUAUAAGGUAACAGCAAGCCAAUUUCUCUGCCUCCAACAAGAUAAAGAUUGCUUUGGAAUCCAUCUUAUAAAUCACAAAUGGGGCUUACUACUAGGCCAAGGAAACAAUUAGUAGUUAUCCAGUAAAUGGAAUCAAUAGAGGAAAAAACAACCGACCCACAAAAAGACAGCAACAUAUUACAAGGGAAAAUGUUCUGCAUAUUGUCUUCUGUCGUGCUGGGCUAGGACAUCUUAAUGAAGAGCUAUAUUCUCUCAGGAUGGUACCCCAGAGAGCUUAUCAGAAGUGUUACUAAGAAGUCACGGUCUUAAUUUUUUUUUUUUUCUCCAGCCUCGCGUAUACAAGAGAAUUCCAUAUUUGACAGCAUCCUGGUACUUCCUUUUUUAACAAAGACAUCUUAAUGUUUCCAUGACGGUAACAUGUGAGUUACCUCACGUCCAGUCUUAAAAUAGUUGUUACACUUAAGGAGUAUUAUUAGAAUAAAGCUGGAAGGAAACACGGAGACAAUUACUCUAAUUCCCUCAUUUUAUAGGAGAGAAUCCAGGGACCCUAGUGCCUUCUCAAGGCCGCACAAUGACUGGGGUCAGGGCUGGCUUGAGAAUUCAGAUUUGUAUUUCCAUACCGAUGCUCCUUUUAUUUUUUGACAUGUAAUAAUUCUUCUUGGUCUAGAAGAAGAUUAGAGUAUUAACAGUAGUUUACAUGUAAGAGAAUACCACCAAACAGGCCCACUGUAUAAAUCAUUGCAGAAUAUCAUAGAGGAGGGACCACAAAGACCACAACGGUUACAUUUUACAGUCAAAGAAAAUGUGGCACAGAGAAGUUGAAUGACUUUCUAGGGACAACCUGGCUAAUAAUUGAUGGAGUCAAGAUUUGAACUCGUCGUGUCUGGCCUGUCUGGUACUAGUUAGAACAUCGGCUGGAGUUGGCCUGGGGUUUUAUUGGACUCAUCUCUGUUUUAGAGUAUUCUGAGAGAUGUCCUGACCCUGCUUCCGCAGGCUAUGAGGAAGCUUGCACUUUGGAAACACAUGAGAGAGGUUGGAAGUGUGGAUUAUUUAUAGCCUGAGAGGAGAAAGUUGUUCAACUUCAUUUCCAUCCCUAACCACAUGGGAGAAUAGGUUGGAGUAAUAGGAAGACCCUCAGUGGUUGCGAAGUGUGUGUGUAUACAUUGUGGUGGGGACUGUAUUAUGCCUAAGAGUCUUUUGGUUUUCUCUUUUCCCUUCAGCUUUCUGAGAUGCUCUGCCUUAUAGCCCCAAAGAGGUGGCUUUCAUGGCUCCUCUGACUGAACUCGGGGUAGAUACAGAUGGCCCCUCUGAGAGCGUCCCACCAGGGUUUUUGCAAUUAGGCAUAGUGACUGAAUUAGUUAACUUUGGAGAGAUGUGUUGGAGUCACCUAGACUUGUGAUCCGAAGCCUCCGUCUCUGGGAUGCCACAGUCUGACACGGGUUUGUAACCAGGAAGCAACUGUGUGGAGAGAGAGAGAGGGGUAGGUGAGGGAAUGAAUGCAUUGCAUAUGCUUUCUCUUCCUCUAUCUACAGGUACUUGAACCCUGAUUUUUCAGCAUCACCAAUGCAAAGCCAAGCCUCAAGAAGAAAGAAAAGAAGUGCUGGGAUGGCUCCUUUUUGAUUCUAGUUUCUUAUUUAUUUCUUGUUUUGUUGUUUUUGUAAAGAACAUAUAAGAAACUCUCCAACUGAAUGCCACAUGGUGCCUAGAUCCUGAUCCUUCUGCAGCAAAAACGUUUUUCUGUUCUCUGGAUCGUUCCUGGAUACUGUAGUUCUAGAAAUGAAGACAUGGAGAGGGCUGGCUGGAGUCAAAUUAAAAAAAAAAAAAAAAAAAAAAGCAACCUGAAGGG